rnacentral:rRNA from 1 species
GACGAACGCUGGCGGCGUGCUUAACACAUGCAAGUCGAACGGAAAGGCCCUGCUCUUGCGGGGUGCUCGAGUGGCGAACGGGUGAGUAACACGUGAGGAACCUGCCCCUGACUUUGGGAUAACUUCAGGAAACUGGGGCGAAUACCGGAUAGGAGCUCCUGCUGCAUGGUGGGGGUUGGAAAGUUUCGGCGGUUGGGGAUGGAUUCGCGGUUUAUCAGCUUGUUGGUGGAGUAGUGGAUUACCAAGGCUUUGACGGGUAGCCGGCCUGGGAGGGUGACCGGCCACAUUGGGACUGCGAUACGGCCCAGACUCCUACGGGAGGCAGCAGUGGGGAAUAUUGCACAAUGGGCGGAAGCCUGAUGCAGCAGCGCCGCGUGCGGGAUGACGGCCUUCGGGUUGUAAACCGCUUUCUCCUGUGACGAAGCGUGAGUGACGGUAAUGGGUAAAGAAGCACCGGCUAACUACGUG